AUGAACGCUGGCGGCGUGCCUAAUACAUGCAAGUCGAGCGAACAGACGAGGAGCUUGCUCCUCUGAUGUUAGCGGCGGACGGGUGAGUAACACGUGGAUAACCUACCUAUAAGACUGGGAUAACUUCGGGAAACCGGAGCUAAUACCGGAUAACAUGUUGAACCGCAUGGUUCAACAGUGAAAGACGGUCUUGCUGUCACUUAUAGAUGGAUCCGCGCCGCAUUAGCUAGUUGGUAAGGUAACGGCUUACCAAGGCAACGAUGCGUAGCCGACCUGAGAGGGUGAUCGGCCACACUGGAACUGAGACACGGUCCAGACUCCUACGGGAGGCAGCAGUAGGGAAUCUUCCGCAAUGGGCGAAAGCCUGACGGAGCAACGCCGCGUGAGUGAAGAAGGUCUUCGGGUCGUAAAACUCUGUUAUUAGGGAAGAACAAAUGUGUGAGUAACUAUGCACGUCUUGACGGUACCUAAUCAGAAAGCCACGGCUAACUACGUG
rnacentral:rRNA from 1 species